UGACCAGAUACCGAGUCUGGACGGGAGAGUGGCUGGUGGGGCCGGCAGGGUGAAGGGGCCUCGGGCGUGAAGGCGUGGCCGGGCGUUGGGCGGAGCCGGAUGUUGGAGUGGAGGCGUGGUCCGGGCGUGGGGCGGGGCCCGGUGGGCCGAACACCGCCCCUCUCCCCACCCCCCGGGCUCGCCAACGCGGGACGCUCUAGGAGGCCAGCGGGUGCCGCUCCUUCAGCUUCCGGGCUAACUCGGAGUCCGUCAAGACUUUCUGGCUCAUGACCGUCGGCACCACCUUGGGGUUCACGGAGUUUACCCGGAUCCAGGGCCCCGGGGUCGAAGUGGGCCUCAGCAGGGCCCCCCUCCCAUGCCCACCUUGUAUGGCCCCAGCUCUGCGGCUAUGACUUUGGGGUGCACCGGGUGAGCAGAUGGCCCAGUACAUCUGGGUCAAGGCUGAGGACCGAGGCUACAUCCCCUUCUGCUCGGAAAAGAGCAGUGAGAGGGUGCUGGGCAGAGAAUGGACACCAGGGGGGAUCUGCUGCCCUCCUCACCACAACCCAAAGGUGCUGGCCAAAAAUUCCACCCUGAAUUUUGGAAAAGGAAAUAAAAAUAAACCCUGGACUGGGGGGCAUGCCGCUUCUUGGCUGGCUGGGGACAGAUGGCCUGGAGCUGGACCCUGCAUGAUAGCAAAGACGCACUGGGCUUGAGGCUGGUCUCCCACCCCGCUGACCCUACUCCACCAUGGCCCCAGUCUGGGGACCACGGCAGCUCCAGAGUCUUCCUCACGCGCCCCUGGCCAGCCUAGGACUCCUGUCCCUCGGGCCUCCAAGCACAGUGAUCAGCCCUGUGCACAGGUGUGGCUGCCCUGAGGUGCCCUCAUUCCUCUCAGGGGUGGCUCUGGGGUGGGGGGGGUCCUCUCCUUCCCCAGCUGUCCCCUUUUGGUUCCCUUCCCUCCCCCUUUUGGAACUUCAUCUCAGCACAGAUCGGUGGACUCUUCGCCGUGGCAAAGGACUCACUGUGGAUUUCUCCUUCGUGCCACUGAUGCUCGUGGAUUCUGAUGGUUCCUGGCGUCCAGUUGCUUUGUGUUUGCAGUGAGAGCACGUGGCCUGAGACCCUGCCCCACAGCGUCCUGGGAGGACUGUCCACGGCUCGGCGCAUCCCUGCAGGUCACUCACUCCUCUUGCCUGAACAGGUAGCGAAAGGGUCCAGUCCAGGCUCACCUGUGGCUUGGGAUGGCCCGUCUCUCUCGUCUCCCUCUCCCCAGAACACUCCUCAGUCUUUCCUUGACCUUUAUGACCUUGGCAUUUCUGGAGCCUGGAAGUCAGUUCUUUUGUAGAACGCCUGUCAGCUGGGCCUUGCCCAGUGUUCCCUCGUGGUGAGGGGCUGCAUGUCUCUGUCCGCGGCGCCAGGGAAGGGCGCCGUGUCUCACAGCACGCCGUCAGCUGGUGCCGCGCGAACCCGUCUCACCGCCGGUGAUGUUAGCUCUGAUGGAGGGAUGUCAGCUGUGACCACCUCAGGCACUGCAUUGUCCUUCUGCUUCGCAUCUGUCCUCCGAACCGCGGGCGAGACGUCUCCUGUGGCUCGGGUCCGCCAUGCACGGCGUCCGCCCACCCGAUGCAAACCCGCCACAGUGCAUCGGACUUAGCUUCCCAGUAAAGCCAGUAGCAAAAUCAGACGUAAUUCAGCCAACUGCACAACCAGCCACGCACUCCCUGAGAUGCCGGAACCCAAGCUCAGAAGCCCAGGGUGAGGGCGCUUGCACCCCAGGGCAGCCCGUGAAGGGGCUUCCAUGCCCCGAUCAGGGCUGAUGGAGCAAAGACUUGCCAAGUGCCUGGCACCGGCCCCAGGGCCCCUGACACGGACUCCCCACAGUCUCCGAGAGGAAGAUCACCGAACGACAUGCGUAACCACCGCAGGCCGGCUUGGGCUCUGGGCUUGGGAUGCAUGUGGCAGACCCACCACGGAAAGGGGCAUGAAACAGGCCGCAGGAAGGGUGUGAUCCAGGCUGUGGCAGGCCGCCGGUGCGGGGACCCCCCACCCAAGGUGGGGGGCCAGGAGCAGGCGCUCACCUGCAUUGCACCAGCUUGCUUGGUGAACCCCCAGCCCUCUUAGACUGUGUUUAGUGGAGAGUUAACUACAGAGGGGUCUGGCCCUUGUCUCUGCUCCUGGGACAGGAUCUCUGGGCCCCUGCCAUGUCCCGCCUGACAGGCGUGUGUCGGCUCGCCUGGGGGCCUGGGCACAGGGUAGUCUCAGGUGUGAUUUAUGCUGGGGGUUUCAGGAUACGUUGUAUCGGGCCUGAUCUCUGGGGGGGCCUGGCGUCUAAAGGUCGGCCAGCCACACGGGCAGUAGGUGAUAGAACCCCCCAAACUCCUGGACACCAAAGGUUCAGGCAAGCUUCCUGGUUGGGGAUAUUUCAUGAGUGUUGUCACGGGUCAGUACUCCGGGAGGGGAGAGACAGUGGGCAAGUUGGCCUCUCCCGGGUGCCGCCCUCUGUCUCUCCCUUUGGUGAUUUUCCUUAUCCAUUUGCUGUAAGAAAACUGUAAUCCUAAGUAUAGCACCUUCUUGACUUCUGUA